UACGUAGGUGGCAAGCGUUGUCCGGAUUUACUGGGCGUAAAGAGCGCGCAGGCGGUCGGAUCAGUCGAAUGUGAAAGCCCCCGGCUCAACUGGGGAGGGUCAUUCGAUACUGUCCGACUCGAAGGCAGGAGAGGGAAGCGGAAUUCCCGGUGUAGUGGUGAAAUGCGUAGAUAUCGGGAGGAACAUCAGUGGCGAAGGCGGCUUCCUGGACCAAUACUGACGAUCAGGUGCGAAAGCGUGGGGAGCAAACAGG
rnacentral:rRNA from 1 species